AGGGUUCAGAACGAAGCAAGGAAUGGCUCCGAGAACCAGUCACCAUCACGAUUUUCUUGGAAGCAUUUAAGCUCAUCCGUAACUGAACGCUCAUUCGUGUCUUGCCUACAACCCCAAAUUGACUAAGCACCUCGAGCAAAGAGAUGCUGUUCUUCUGCUCACCACGGUCUUCAAUAAAUGAAGAAAAUUCAAUAAAUGCUUGAAGAAUGACUAAGUGAAGCCGCCUGCACCUUAUGUGAGCUGUGGGAACAUGCCACAAGUAGAGGCUCUACAUCUGACGCCAAGAGGUUGUUUCCACGCUUGUUAGAGAAAGAACAGGAAGCAAGAAAAGAUGGAACUGACGACCUAGCAACUGGAUGCUGUGGAGUCGAAUGUCCAGGGCUGUUAAAGAUCUUAAAUUGACUCCGAGUAGAUGGUGGGAGCUAUUUGUUGCCCAAAGACAUUCUGAAGCAGCUAGUCCCUUUCUUGAGUUGAGAACGAUUUCUUCCCACUGGGACCCCCUCCAGCGGAAAGAGAUGAACAAUUCUAAAAGUCAUUACAGUUUCCAGAUCCGUCUGAUGGAAGUCCUGGAUGUGAAACUGGUAAGGAUCUCAAAGUCCUGAGGUCUAUGCUAACAAAACUGCCUGGGUAGGCAGGAUACCCAUGACUCCAGUGUGGGAGAGCAACACUUGAGCUGAUCUCCACAUCAACUGCAGUUGAGACCUUCUUCAGAUCAACACUGGGGCAGAGGGAGUUGCCUUGAAACCAUCCUCUACCACUUCCUGGCAAUGGGACCUGAAGUGAAGUGCCUGGCCUCCUAAGUCCUGAUUUCCUCAUCUAAUAAUGAGGAGAAGAAUUCAGCAUUAUUCAACACUCAAUUUCAUUACUUAACUUUGGAAAAACCAAAAAGCCGGGAUAGCCAAAAAAAAAUCCUGUACAAUAAAGGAACUUCUGGAGGCAUCACUAUCCCUGAC